UGGCACUGCUGUGAGCCCCAGGUUUGGUCACUGUCACUCCGAGGUGACAGCACAGCACCAGCAGAGCCCUCAGGGGCAGUUCCCAAGGGAUUUGCCCAGAAUUGCCCUUUCCUGCCCCAAGUGCAGCCGAGCCCAAGCAGAGCUCUGCAGAUUUGGGAUUUAAAAGCUUUCCUGGUUUGGUUUGGAUGUCACCUCCUGCCCUGGUGGGGCAGUGACAAACUCACCCUGCCCCUCUGGAGCAGCACAGAGCCAGCUCCAUGGUGACUUUGUGUUCUGUUCUCUCCUCCCCAGGAACCCGAGAGCUGUGGGCACAGAUGAGAUGAGACCCAGGCCAAGGCAAGUGUGACAAAAUCAGAUUUCCCCUGUGCUGAGCCAUUCCCCAGUCUGGAUUUCCCUGGCCAGAAAACAAGGAAUCCCAAACUGGCAGCUGGCUGAGCUGAUGAAGAAAGCAGCACGUUCUUGACCCAAAUCAGGGAGAAAGCUUGGAUAUAAAGUUGGGAUAGAGCUGACCCACCUGGGAUAAAGCUGGGAUAGAGCUGACCCACCUGGGAUAAAGCUGAGAUAAAGCUGACCCACCUGGGAUAGAGCUGGGAUAAAACUGACCCACCUGGGAUAGAGCUGAGAUAAAACUGACCCACCUGGGAUAAAGCUGAGAUAAAGCUGACCCACCUGGGAUGAAGCUGGGAUAAAACUGACCCACCUGGGAUAAAGCUGGGAUAGACCUGACCCACCUGGGAUAAAGCUGAGAUAAAACUGACCCACCUGGGAUAGAGCUGGGAUAGAGCUGACCCACCUGGGAUAAAACUGACCCACCUGGGAUAAAGCUGACCCACCUGGGAUAAAGCUGGGAUAGAGCUGACCCACCUGGGAUAAAACUGA